rnacentral:rRNA from 1 species
AUUGAACGCUGGCGGCAGGCCUAACGCAUGCAAGUCGAGCGGAUGAAGGGAGCUUGCUCCUGGAUUCAGCGGCGGACGGGUGAGUAAUGCCUAGGAAUCUGCCUGGUAGUGGGGGAUAACGUCCGGAAACGGGCGCUAAUACCGCAUACGUCCUGAGGGAGAAAGUGGGGGAUCUUCGGACCUCACGCUAUCAGAUGAGCCUAGGUCGGAUUAGCUAGUUGGUGGGGUAAAGGCCUACCAAGGCGACGAUCCGUAACUGGUCUGAGAGGCUGAUCAGUCACACUGGAACUGAGACACGGUCCAGACUCCUACGGGAGGCAGCAGUGGGGAAUAUUGGACAAUGGGCGAAAGCCUGAUCCAGCCAUGCCGCGUGUGUGAAGAAGGUCUUCGGAUUGUAAAGCACUUUAAGUUGGGGGGAAGGGCAGUAAGUUAAUACCUUGCUGUUUUGACGUUACCAACAGAAUAAGCACCGGCUAACUUCGUG